CUUUGGUUAUUUUCAAUUUUUUAAAUUUCUUUCUUUUUUUUUUUUUUUUUUUUUUUUUUUACUAUUUUAGCAGGGCUGGAAUGAGCAUCCUUAAAUUUGUAUCCCUGUGUACUUAUGGAAGAGUUUCCUUAAGCAUAUGUACCUAAAAGUGGCACUGCUGGAUUAGGGAAUGAACAUAUUUAGUUUCAGCAGAUAUUUCCAAUUGGUCUCCAAAUUGUUUGUACUUUACAUUCUUAUACUCA
rnacentral:lncRNA from 1 species